GACGAACGCUGGCGGCGUGCUUAACACAUGCAAGUCGAACGGAAAGGCCCUGCUUUUGUGGGGUGCUCGAGUGGCGAAAGGAUGAGUAACACGUGAGUAACCUGCCCUUGACUUUGGGAUAACUUCAGGAAACUGGGGCUAAUACCGGAUAGGAACUCCUGCUGCAUGGGGGGGGUUGGAAAGUUUCGGCGGUUGGGGAUGGACGCGCGGCUUAUCAGCUUGUUGGUGGGGUAGUGGCUUACCAAGGCUUUGACGGGUAGCCGGCCUGAGAGGGUGACCGGCCACAUUGGGACUGAGAUACGGCCCAGACUCCUACGGGAGGCAGCAGUGGGGAAUAUUGCUCAAUGGGCGGAAGCCUGAUGCAGCAACGCCGCGUGCUGGAUGACGGCCUUCGGGUUGUAACCCGCUUUCGCCUGUGACGAAGCGUGAGUGACGGUAAUGGGUAAAGAAGCACCGGCUAACUACGUG
rnacentral:rRNA from 1 species